GGCGCUGUGGCCAAGUGGUAAGGCAGAGGUCUGCAAAAUCUUUAUUCCCCAGUUCAAAUCUGGGCAGCGCCU
rnacentral:tRNA from 1 species